AUUGAACGCUGGCGGCAGGCCUAACACAUGCAAGUCGAGCGGAGCGGCGAACGGGUGAGUACUGCCUAGUAAUCUGCCUGGUGGUAGGUACUAACGUCCGGAAGCGGACACUAAUACAGCAUACUCUCAGCUGAGCCUAGGUCGGAUUAGCUAGUUGGUGGGGUAAAGGCCUACCAAGGCGACGAUCCGUAACUGGUCUGAGCGGAGGAUCAGUCACACUGGAACUGAGACACGGCCCAGACUCCUACGGGAGGCAGCAGUAGGGAAUAUUUGACAAUGGGCGAAAGCCUGAUCCAGCAAGGCCGCGUGGGUGAAGAAGGUUUUCGGAUUGUAAAGCACUGUAAGUUGGGAGGCGUUACCAACAUAAAAAGCACCGGCUAACUUCGUGCCAGCAGCCGCGGUAAUAC
rnacentral:rRNA from 1 species